rnacentral:rRNA from 1 species
UACGUAGGGGGCAAGCGUUGUCCGGAUUUAUUGGGCGUAAAGAGCGUGUAGGCGGCCAUACAGGUCAGCUGUGAAAACUCGAGGCUCAACCUCGAGACGUCGGUUGAAACCGUUUGGCUAGAGUCCGGAAGAGGAGAGUGGAAUUCCCGGUGUAGCGGUGAAAUGCGCAGAUAUCGGGAAGAACACCCGUGGCGAAGGCGGCUCUCUGGGACGGUACUGACGCUGAGGAGCGAAAGCGUGGGGAGCGAACAGG